ACAGGUCUUCGGAUGCUGACGAGUGGCGAACGGGUGAGUAAUACAUCGGAACGUGCCCGAGAGUGGGGGAUAACGAAGCGAAAGCUUUGCUAAUACCGCAUACGAUCUCAGGAUGAAAGCAGGGGACCGCAAGGCCUUGCGCUCACGGAGCGGCCGAUGGCAGAUUAGGUAGUUGGUGGGAUAAAAGCUUACCAAGCCGACGAUCUGUAGCUGGUCUGAGAGGACGACCAGCCACACUGGGACUGAGACACGGCCCAGACUCCUACGGGAGGCAGCAGUGGGGAAUUUUGGACAAUGGGCGCAAGCCUGAUCCAGCCAUGCCGCGUGCAGGAUGAAGGCCUUCGGGUUGUAAACUGCUUUUGUACGGAACGAAAAGACUCUGGUUAAUACCUGGGGUCCAUGACGGUACCGUAAGAAUAAGCACCGGCUAACUACGUGCCAGCAGCCGCGGUAAUACGUAGGGUGCGAGCGUUAAUCGGAAUUACUGGGCGUAAAGCGUGCGCAGGCGGUUAUGUAAGACAGAUGUGAAAUCCCCGGGCUCAACCUGGGAACUGCAUUUGUGACUGCGUAGCUAGAGUACGGCAGAGGGGGAUGGAAUUCCGCGUGUAGCAGUGAAAUGCGUAGAUAUGCGGAGGAACACCGAUGGCGAAGGCAAUCCCCUGGGCCCUGUACUGACGCUCAU
rnacentral:rRNA from 1 species